rnacentral:rRNA from 1 species
GACGAACGCUGGCGGCGUGCCUAAUACAUGCAAGUAGAACGCAGUUGCGAACGGGAGAGUAACGCGUAGGUAACUGCCUGGUAGCGGGGGAUAACUAUUGGAAACGAUAGCUAAUACCGCAUACUACCAGAUGGACCUGCGUUGUAUUAGCUAGUUGGUUAGGUAACGGCUCACCAAGGCAGCGAUACAUAGCCGACCUGGUAGGGGUGUCGGGCACACUGGGACGGAGGCACGACCCAGACUCCUACGGGAGGCAGCAUGAGGGAAUCUUCGGAAAUGGGGGGAACACUGACCGAGCAACGCCGCGUGAGUGAAGAAGGUUUUCGGAUCGGAAAGCUCUGUUGUUAAGGAAGCGGUACUUAACCAGAAAGGGACGGCUAACUCCGUGCCAGCAGCCGCGGUAAUAC